rnacentral:rRNA from 1 species
GUGUCAGCAGCCGCGGUAAUACGGAGGGCGCAAGCGUUAUCCGGAUUCACUGGGUUUAAAGGGUGCGUAGGCGGGUAGGUAAGUCAGUGGUGAAAUCCUGGAGCUCAACUCCAGAACUGCCAUUGAUACUAUUUAUCUUGAAUAUUGUGGAGGUAAGCGGAAUAUGUCAUGUAGCGGUGAAAUGCUUAGAUAUGACAUAGAACACCCAUUGCGAAGGCAGCUUACUACGCAUAUAUUGACGCUGAGGCACGAAAGCGUGGGGAUCAAACAGGAUUAGAUACCCUGGUAGUCC